rnacentral:tRNA from 2 species
GUCUCCAUCGUCUAGAGGCCUAGGACACCGGGUUUUCAUCCCGGCAACACGGGUUCGACUCCCGUUGGAGAUGCCA